rnacentral:rRNA from 1 species
GAUGAACGCUGGCGGCGUGCCUAAUACAUGCAAGUCGAGCGAACGGACGAGAAGCUUGCUUUUCUGAUGUUAGCGGCGGACGGGUGAGUAACACGUGGAUAACCUACCUAUAAGACUGGGAUAACUUCGGGAAACCGAAGCUAAUACCGGAUAAUAUUUUGAACCGCAUGGUUCAAAAGUGAAAGACGGUCUUGCUGUCACUUAUAGAUGGAUCCGCGCUGCAUUAGCUAGUUGGUAAGGUAACGGCUUACCAAGGCAACGAUGCAUAGCCGACCUGAGAGGGAGAUCGGCCACACUGGAACUGAGACACGGUCCAGACUCCUACGGGAGGCAGCAGUAGGGAAUCUUCCGCAAUGGGCGAAAGCCUGACGGAGCAACGCCGCGUGAGUGAUGAAGGUCUUCGGAUCGUAAAACUCUGUUAUUAGGGAAGAACAUAUGUGUAAGUAACUGUGCACAUCUUGACGGUACCUAAUCAGAAAGCCACGGCUAACUACGUG